rnacentral:rRNA from 1 species
UACGUAGGGACCGAGCGUUGUCCGGAUUCAUUGGGCGUAAAGAGCUCGUAGGCGGCCACUCAAGUCGAAUGUGAAACCUCGAGGCUCAACCUCGAGCCUGCAUUCGAUACUGGGCGGCUAGAGUCUGGUAGGGGGAUCUGGAAUUCCUGGUGUAGCGGUGGAAUGCGCAGAUAUCAGGAGGAACACCGGUGGCGAAGGCGGGAUCCUGGGCCAGUACUGACGCUGAGGAGCGAAAAGCGUGGGGGAGCAAACAGG